UACGUAGGGUCCGAGCGUUGUCCGGAAUUAUUGGGCGUAAAGCGCGCGUAGGCGGCUACUUAAGUCGGAUGUGAAAGCCCCUGGCUCAACUGGGGAAGUGCACCCGAAACUGAGUGGCUUGAGUGCGAAAGAGGGUCGCGGAAUUCCCGGUGUAGAGGUGAAAUGCGCAGAUAUCGGGAGGAACACCAGUGGCGAAGGCGACUUCCUGGCCUGUUCUUGACGCUGAGGCGCGAAAGCUAGGGUAGCAAACGGG
rnacentral:rRNA from 1 species